AUUAAAUUACAAGAACUUUAUUCAGAUUAAUUUUAUUAGCAGAACUCAGAUAAUUUAGCACUUUGAAUAGAAAAGAAGGUUUAUACAAGUCAUGAUAUAUGUGACUUAGUGAACCUCCUAUUGGAUUUCUUGUAUUUCUCUCUAGUGCUCCAAUGCACACCAUAAAAAAAGAUCAACCUGUUCCCCAGAGAGUUUUCAGAGAGAGGUCUGUUUCUAGGUAAAGCAGGAUUAUAACAUUCCUUGUUUUUUGUCCCAUGAACUAACCGUAAACGAAUGUAAACAGGUCUGGGAAGGAAUCUAUUCCUACAUUAGAUUUUCUAUUUUUAUUUUUUAAUAGUUAUAAUUGUUGUUUGGGCUGUUUGCAUUUUGUUUGUUCCACUGAAGUUGAUAUCUGUGUGCUUUACUUAGUCAUCAGACAAAAUGCCCUAAGACAUUUGGCUGCUUCUAGAAAUAAGCAAUAAAAGUAUUCAGAAAUUUUUCUCAACCUAGCGUGUCUGUUGACUAUAUGCGCUACCUUAAGACUUUUGUAAGCUUACAGAAAUAGUUUCAGUGGAAACUUCUUUGUGAACUUUCUGUUUAAUACAGUUAUCGUGACCUCUCUCUGCAGCUACCAUAUCUGUGCCCUGCUACAGAAUACAGGUCAGGGAAAAGGAUGUGGUGAUAUUGGCUUCCCGAAGAGAAGAGAACCCCUGUCACAAGGAGGGAGAAGUGAAUUUGGCAGCAAGUGGCAGCAAGUGGCAAAAAAAGCUUGCCUAAAAUAUUAGGAGCAAAUACGUAAACUGCAUUUACAGAUGUUUCUCCAAUAUAGGAAAGCUUCAAUCAAACUUAUAUUGCAAAAAAAAUCAUAUU
rnacentral:lncRNA from 1 species